GACGAACGCUGGCGGCGUGCUUAACACAUGCAAGUCGAACGGAAAGGCCCUGCUUGCCGGGUGCUCGAGUGGCGAACGGGUGAGUAACACGUGGGUGAUCUGCCCCUUACUUUGGGAUAAGCCUGGGAAACUGGGUCUAAUACUGGAUAGGACCAUGCUGUAGGUGGUGUGGUGGAAAGAUUAGUUUCGGUAAGGGAUGAGCUCGCGGCCUAUCAGCUUGUUGGUGGGGUAAUGGCCUACCAAGGCGUCGACGGGUAGCCGGCCUGAGAGGGUGGACGGCCACAUUGGGACUGAGAUACGGCCCAGACUCCUACGGGAGGCAGCAGUGGGGAAUAUUGCACAAUGGGCGCAAGCCUGAUGCAGCGACGCCGCGUGGGGGAUGACGGCCUUCGGGUUGUAAACUCCUUUCAGCCAUGACGAAGCCCUUGUGGUGACGGUAGUGGUAGAAGAAGCACCGGCUAACUACGU
rnacentral:rRNA from 1 species